GCUGAUUGAAUGUAGCAGGAAACAAAAAAGUUUCAAGAAAAUGCAAAGGGGGGAGAAAAAGACUUGAUUUUUACUCUAUUUCUUUUCUUGAAUCUCUUUUUCUUUCAGCUCCCCACAUUUUUCAAGGGAAAAAACAAAAAAAUCAGGAGGUAAGGGGAACCAUUCACUGUAUAUGUUUCAUGAGAUAUGAAAAUGGAUGAAAUGGGAAGGGAGAAAAAACAAGAAAGCAACAAAUAAAGGAAGCUCAAAGGGAAACAAAAUACAUGUUUGACUGACAGUGGAGUGUGGGGAAGGAGUGAUGGGAUAUGGCUUGAUUGCUAUAGGUAAGCUUUUGUCUAGUUCACUCAAUCAUAAUCCACAACCCCAUAAGCACAAUGAGGUUGAAGAGAGAUAAAAGGUAAGAGCUUUGAGUCUCUAGUACACUCAAUCAUAAUCCACAACCCCAUAAGCACAAUGAGGUUGAAGAGAGAUAAAAGGUAUUAAGAGCUUUGAGUCUUGAAACAAAAUUGGCACUCAUUAUUUUCCUCUAUCUUGCUUCUCUUUAAUUUUUUUAUUUUUAUUUUCUUGGUUUUGUUGUCUUCUUGGGAAGAGAUAGGUCUAUUACAGUGAUUGAUCUGUGGGUGCUGUAACUGAUGAGAGAGAAAGAGAAAGUGAGAGAUCAAGAAGAGAGAGAGGGGGCAUAUGCUUUUGAAGCUUAUUAUUACCUUGCCAACCAACACAACCUGCUUUCACUUUUUCCAUUGUUUCUUG
rnacentral:lncRNA from 1 species